GACGAACGCUGGCGGCGUGCUUAACACAUGCAAGUCGAACGGAAAGGCCCCCACCUUGGUGGGGGUGCUCGAGUGGCGAACGGGUGAGUAACACGUGGGUGAUCUGCCCUGUACUUCGGGAUAAGCUUGGGAAACUGGGUCUAAUACCGGAUAGGACCAUGGUUUAGUGUCUCAUGGUGGAAAGAUUAUUGUUUUGGUGCAGGAUGAGCUCGCGGCCUAUCAGCUUGUUGGUGGGGUAAUGGCCUACCAAGGCGUCGACGGGUAGCCGGCCUGAGAGGGUGGACGGCCACAUUGGGACUGAGAUACGGCCCAGACUCCUACGGGAGGCAGCAGUGGGGAAUAUUGCACAAUGGGCGCAAGCCUGAUGCAGCGACGCCGCGUGGGGGAUGACGGCCUUCGGGUUGUAAACUCCUUUCGUUAGGGACGAAGCCGCACCUUUUUUUGGGUGUGGUGACGGUAC
rnacentral:rRNA from 1 species